GUGGGGUGCGAGCGUUAAUCGGAAUUACUGGGCGUAAAGCGUGCGCAGGCUGUUUUGUAAGUCAGAUGUGAAAUCCCCGAGCUCAACUUGGGAACUGCGUUUGAAACUACAAGACUAGAAUAGGUCAGAGGGGGGUAGAAUUCCACGUGUAGCAGUGAAAUGCGUAGAGAUGUGGAGGAAUAUCAAUGGCGAAGGCAGCCCCCUGGGAUCAUAUUGACGCUCAUGCACGAAAGCGUGGGGAGCAAACAGGAUUAGAUACCCUGGUAGUCCACGCCCUAAACGAUGUCAACUAGUUGUUGGUAGAGUAAAAUCUAUGAGUAACGCAGCUAACGCGUGAAGUUGACCGCCUGGGGAGUACGAUCGCAAGAUUA
rnacentral:rRNA from 1 species